AAAACGACUCUCGGCAACGGAUAUCUCGGCUCUCGCAUCGAUGAAGAACGUAGCGAACUGCGAUACGUGGUGUGAAUUGCAGAAUCCCGUGAACCAUCGAGUCUUUGAACGCAAGUUGCGCCCGAAGCCAUUAGGCCGAGGGCACGUCUGCCUGGGCGUCACGC
rnacentral:rRNA from 1 species